rnacentral:antisense_RNA from 1 species
AUCAAUGGUGGCGUGCGAUGGGAAAGGUUUCGCCCUUUGCUGUGUUCCGUGUAUCGCAGUUUUCGAGCCCGUCGCACGUUACCGCCCAA